CACGUAGGGGCCAAGCGUUGUCCGGAUUUAUUGGGCGUAAAGAGCUCGUAGGCGGUUCGACAAGUCGGGUGUGAAAACUCCGGGCUCAACCCGGAGACGCCACCCGAUACUGUCGUGACUGGAGUCCGGUAGGGGAGUGGGGAAUUCCUGGUGUAGCGGUGAAAUGCGCAGAUAUCAGGAAGAACACCAACGGCGAAGGCAGCUCGCUAGGACGGUACUGACGCUGAGACGCGAAAGCGUGGGGAGCGAACAGG
rnacentral:rRNA from 1 species